GUUUUUAUGUGUGAAGACAAUUGCACCUGACUGCAGUACGCAGAUUGGGGUUGGGCUAAAUGUGGGCAGAGCUAAAC